rnacentral:lncRNA from 1 species
GCCCCUUUUACUCUUAACAUUAGCUUUGUUUAGUUGUUGUGUUUGUUAUUCUUCUAUGUAUUUUCUAAAUGUAUUCAUAGUUGCUAUUUUAAAACUGUAUACUGAUAUUGUUAUCCAAUUUUUUUUUUAUUUACAAAUUUUACCUUUACAAACAUUCAGUAAAAAAAAGAAAAAAAAAGGGACCGUCCGCACAAAGAGAAGCAUUUUUUUCUCGGACAUACAUCUUCGGCAAGCAGUACUGAAAAAAAAAGGGAAGAUUAAAUUUACAUGGUUGCAUCAUUUGUACCUUAGCUUUUAAAUAAUCUGCCCUCUUCAAGUUCUAACAAAAGUGCCUGCUUUAGUGGCCUUACCCUAUUAGUAAUCUAGCCUCAUAAUUAACAUGCUUUUUAUACAAUUAUCUUACAUAUCUGCCCUCUUCAAGUUAUAAC